GGAGGAGAGCUUUGCUUUCACUCUUGCUUGGGAAGUCUUCCAUUGAUACUUAUUAGGCAUUUCUUGUGGUGAACCAAGAAAGGUUGUGAUGGGAGAGCAUCUAUUGGAGCAACCAAGUGACCAAAACUUGGAUUCUUGAAUCAUCAAGAUCGGGUGCGAAAAAUCCUUGAGACGUUGGACUGUUUCGUUGUGAAUCGGUAAAGUAAGUUUCGCCG